AUCUCAUGGUAAGGACAUUUCAUGAGCUUCUCCUUGAAUCUUCUCCAAGCUUCAUACCACAGUUCUUCAUGGAAUUGACAAAAUUUAAUAAUUUCAUCCCUCAAUU
rfam:Capsicum annuum cultivar Zunla-1 chromosome 7, whole genome shotgun sequence